ACCGUCAGCCACCUUCGUCGUUCCCCUGCACGCUGCGCCGCACCACCCGUUGCUGCUGCCCAGUCGGCCUCCAUCCUUCUCCUCCACACACGCAAGCAACUUUUCCCUCUCUUCUGUGUUUCUUGCUCGAACACGCAACCACCAUUGCCGACCACCGCGUCGCCCAGCCCUGCCGCCGCCAGGCCCGCUGUCGUGUGUUGUUUACCGCCGGCCAGCACUUCCUCUUCCUCUCUCUUUGGCGGAGAAUUCUCUUUAGGCGACUUCUGAAAGUGUUAAAGUGGCCUAUUAGUUUGUUUACACAAGUCUCUAAGGAUUAAUAAGCGUUGCCCAUCUACAGGUUCGAAGAUGAUGCAUCAUUGGGAUCGGG